rnacentral:lncRNA from 1 species
GGUGCGCGGUGGUGUGAAGUUUAGUCGUGGUUAUCAAGAUCCGUGUAUGUUCAGGUGUGUUCAGACUAAUAUGAUUUGGCCAAAAUAAAAAAAAAUAUGAAUUUUAUUAGUAAGAUAUUCGGAUCUGUGAUCUGUAAAGGAUAAUGUGAAUGAGGUAAUUUGGAAUUUCUGUUUGGCUGUCUUGGGAUGUCGGUGGGAUCCGGAUUAGUAAAAGACUCUUGCAAUUUGUUUUGCUGUCUUAAAGAGUUAUUAAUGCACGCUGCCCACCAAUUAUUGGUUUCUUGCGAGGACCAUGCCAGACCAAUUUUAAUUAUUAAUGCACGGUGCGCAUCCUUCCAUUCUUCUUUUUAUUUUUUUAAUACGAGGGUACUACUUUUUAUAUUAAUGUUAAUUAUGAAUGAGACAUGGUUGCAUAUGGUCUCUCCGAUGAAGUAGGCAAAUACAAAGUCAAAACAAUUUUGAUGAGCCAUGUAGGCAAUGUUGCCUACUUUCAAUAUUAUAGGCAAAUAGAAUUCCACUUCUCUAUUUAUUAUAAAAUAUUUUAAGUAGAGGAAGAAUGUAAAAAAAAAAGGAUAAAGUCAGAUUGUGUUGUAUGUAUAAUUUACUGAAUAAUUAUGGAUGCCAGAAAAUAGAGGAGUGCGGCAAUAGUAGAAAGAAAGAGAGAAAUGUUUAAUUGUAAGGUGUGUUCUAUUCCAUCACAUUAUGUCUUUAUUUAUAGUAGUAAGGAAUAGCAUUUCUUACCCUUUAGGAUUACAACAUUUAAUAAGUAAUAUACUCCUAAUAGGAAUAUGAGAGAUAUUCCAAGAUAUACUAGGAUUUAAACAAUCACAUUCAGAAUCUAAUAGGACUGCAACACUCCCCCUUGAGUGUGUAAAUACUCAAGUAAAUAAUGCAUCAAGUCUUCAGUGAUGAAGUAAGUACAGUUAAUGAAGUCGUCAGUACAAUGAGCAAAUGCGGGUCUCAAAUCAAUGGAAGAAUGCAUAAAAAGUAAAACUCAUAAAACCUCACUAUGGUAAAACCCAAGGUGGGAGAAAAACUCAUAGUUUAAGGAGAAAAGUGAGAAGUUGCAUUAAGUCAAAACUAUACGUCUUUUGGACGCAAGUAAAAGAGCUCACAAGGGUAUGAUCAUCCAAGGAUGGGUGUCUCGUUAAAACCUAGUUAAGUAGCAAAAACCCAGUUGGAAAAAUGCUCAUAAUCGUAGAGAAAAAGAGUACAUUAAGAUCAAGUGAGUACAAUUUUGGAUACUCCCCCUGAGUUUGACAUAUCUUCCAAAUGAGAACUACAAGCAUUGCAUAUGAAUAGUUAGGCAUACCAAUUCCUUGGACAAGCUUCUAGAAGGUUGACUUCGGUAGUGACGUCAUGUAAAGGUCGGCAAGGUUGUCUGGGAUUGGCUUGCAUGACUUCAAUAUCCUGAUGCUUUGCUAAUGUAGAUAUGGACGCAAUAUGUCUUGGCGUUGACUUCAUUGAUGGAUCACGGCUUCGUCGGGUUGAUACAUGCGGCAUAAUCUUCAUGGAUCGUCAUCGGGACUCAACGAUGGAUGAAAACACAGCAAGUACUUCGAAAUAUGCUCAACAAGAACUCCUAACAAUGUCUCACUUGUGGCGUAGUGAAGUGAGGUGAGUCCUGGAACGAUUCGAAGAUUUCGCAACUAAGGUCAUAUCAUGGACCUUCAAGACAUUGCGAAAUCCCUUAACGGUAAAGACAUAACCAUUCUAGGGAUUGUGCCUUGUGUGGGUUUGAUAAAUAACCUGCAUUAGCAUAAUAAACAAGGCAAUCAUCAUUUCGAGGAUCAGGGGGUUGGAUCCGCUCGAGAUGCAUUGGGAUUUGCCCAUGUAGUACCUUUAGGGUACAUCUUUAAUAUAAAUUCAGUGGCUGCGUGUAGGCGCGAUGCUGCAUCUUGACCAAGAUCAACAAGAAAGGAGAUGUCAUGUCUAAAUACAAUGGACUAAGUACAACGAAGCGCAAAGUUGAACUUAGAUAUGGAAUUUCAGAUUCCAUAACCUCUUCAAGGGUCUUAUUUGCAUAUAACGUAUGGAUGAUCAAAGGUAUACUUAAAGGUGACACAUUUAAGGUGUAGUUCGACUGGUAGACCAAAAUACCAUCAGAACAAUGCUUUAACUUUAGGUUAAGGCAUAAACGAGUUUUCCAAAGAUCCUUCAUCUCAAAUUCCAUCUUCAGGUGCGAGGCAGUUUUCUCCAGCUCUUCUGGAGUCUUAGUGAGAUUCGUGUUAACGACAUAAACUGUAACUCUAGUGAUUUGGAAUAAGACUUCAUAGUUUAACACACAAGGGCAUAAUUAAUAUCCCUGACUGAUCAAAUAAUCACUUAGACGAGUACACCACAUCCGUCAGAUUGUAAAUGAACGCCUCAAACAAGUUAAAAGGGUGUUCCGUGGUUUUGGAACUAUUUGAACCAGUCAAUGUAAUUCUUUAGGAAUUUACAUGUAAAUCUCCGUAUCUAUAUCCCUAUGGAGAAACAUUAACCACAUUUCAUAAUACUGCUAUCAAUCACAAGACGUUUAAGAAAAACCUUGCGCCAUAAGGCGUUCAUCAUAUCGUACUAUUUCAUUCAUCCCAUAACGCUUCCUUUCCCACUUGUAACAUAAUAGGGUUACAUUGGGCAGUGUAGGAAUGACAGGUCCAAUACACACUUUGGUAAGGAAUUUGACCUAGAUUAUAAUUUUAGUUGUCCAAUUAGUUCUACGUUGUCACUUAAUCAACGAAACACGGCUCGAUAUCAUCAUUUUUCAUUUAUGUCGAUAGCUACCAUAUAAGUGAAAACAUCAUCGAUGGUAAUCUCAUUUCAAUUCCAUUUAGCUCAUCCAAACUAGUAUAUUGGACCAAAAACUUCAAGUCUCGGGAGUAAUCCAGAUUAAUCUCAUGAGAUGGAAAUGAUUUGAGACAGUGAUCAAGUUUAGAUUCAUUGUUGUGUUGUGUCUUCCUCUUAUAGGGAAGUGAAUCCUAUGAACCGAGUGAUCUAUAGUGCUUCGAUCCAAGAUAGAUUGAUUGGUUAUCUGCCAGUGUACCGAACCGUCUAACAGGGGUGUCCAAACCGUCCAACAGGGGCGACACACCUUCCAGGGAUGUUGACUCGACGUCCGUUAAGUACGUAUAUCCUUGCAAGCAUAUUUGCUGCUGGUAUAUUAUCUCGUCACUUUAGCUAGAUCAGAGGAAUGUGCCUAGAGCAACAUUUUGAAAUCUAGAAUUCAUCACAUUAUUUAUCACACUUGUGCGAUAUGGGGAUUGAGAUGAGACAUAGUGGACAACGUCCAUGCAACUUUGCGUCAUUCUACAGGAACAUUGACGUUCUUAUCUCCCCCUAACGGAGGGAAGAUUGUCUCAUUAAAGUGACAACUCGCAGAUGAUCGGUAAAAAGAUUGCAUGCGAGGGCUCGAAGAGAGCUAAUGUGGAGGAGAAUCAUGAUCGACAAAAGAUACACAUCAUUCUUUGAUGACCCAUAUUGGUAUGUUGUAACAGCGCAACUUGGCACAUGGAAUGCACACCCAAAUGCGUAAAUACGAAAAUCGUCAGGUUCGUACCCAGUAA